rnacentral:tRNA from 1 species
GCGCCUGUGGUGAAAUUGGUAUACACGCAGCCUUGAGGUGGCUGUGCCUUCGGGUGUGCUGGUUCAAGUCCAGUCAGGCGCACCA